GACAGAGGGGGCAAGCGUUGCUCGGAAUCACUGGGCGUAAAGGGUGCGUAGGCGGCUUGGUAAGUUGGGUGUGAAAGCCCCGGGCUCAGCCCGGGAAGGGCACUCGAAACUGCCGAGCUGGAGUGCCGGAGGGGAGAGUGGAAUUCCUGGUGUAGCGGUGAAAUGCGUAGAUAUCAGGAGGAAUACCGGUGGCGAAAGCGACUCUCUGGACGGCAACUGACGCUGAGGCACGAAAGCGUGGGGAGCAAACAGG
rnacentral:rRNA from 1 species